rnacentral:rRNA from 1 species
AGUGAACGCUGGCGGUAGGCCUAACACAUGCAAGUCGAACGGCAGCACAGUAAGAGCUUGCUCUUACGGGUGGCGAGUGGCGGACGGGUGAGGAAUACAUCGGAAUCUACUUUUUCGUGGGGGAUAACGUAGGGAAACUUACGCUAAUACCGCAUACGACCUACGGGUGAAAGCAGGGGAUCUUCGGACCUUGCGCGAUUGAAUGAGCCGAUGUCGGAUUAGCUAGUUGGCGGGGUAAAGGCCCACCAAGGCGACGAUCCGUAGCUAGUCUGAGAGGAUGAUCGGCCACACUGGAACUAAGACACGGUCCAGACUCCUACGGGAGGCAGCAGUGGGGAAUAUUGAGCAAUGGGAGCAAGACUGAUCCAGCCAUACCGCGUAGAUGAAGAAGGCCUUCGGGUUGUAAAGCCCUUUUGUUGAGAAAGAAAAGCAGCAGGUUAAUACCCCGCUGUUCUGACGGUACCCAAAGAAUAAGCACCGGCUAACUUCGUG